AUGAUUAAAGAAAGAUUUCAAUUGAUAAGUCGAGUAUAAAUUGUUAGUUUCCCUCAUAAUUAUCAAUUGGCGAAAUUAUUUUAAAAUAUUGUCACCCACUUUAUUGCCUUUUUUUCUGAAACUCUCUAUCUCUCUCUGUUCAGAAGCCCUCACUAAUCUAACGCUAAAGAACCAUCUUCUUCAUCUUCCAGAUUGAGAAGAGUUUUAGUAGCAGCAGCCAGCCUUAAUGUGUUCACUUCUCUUUCUCCAUCUCAAUCUCUCAAGAUCUUGAAGCUUCGUUCUUCAAUCUUUCAAUCUUCAUUUUCUCAUGUGAUUGCUGGGUUCGCUGUAAAUUUCCAUCAGCAGUCUUGCUUCUCUUCAUCUCCAAUUCCAGGGAACCAUGGGGAAGAAAGUUAAGAAGAAGACCAAUAGAGCUCCUCCGAAAGAGAAGCGGGUAUCUUCAAGUUCACCGAGGAAGGUGCCCCAGCGAAACAGCACAACGGUGGAGACUGCUGAUGAGGACGUUCCAGUUGUGAAGGAGAAAAGCCAAUGCCGGCAUCUUGAUAAAUGCUUUAAUUUGAAUGAGUUAUCAUCUAAACUUGGGUCUUCCGAACCUAUUAGCUGCGAAGAUUGUCAAGAUAGUUCAGCUGAUAGAAGGGGAACUAGGGGGAAGGCUAGACAUGGGAAGAAAAAAGGGGGAACUUCUGUGGAUGUAAAAACUGAUGCCAAAGCUAUUUGGAUUUGUUUGCAGUGUGGGCAUUAUGCCUGUGGGGGUAUUGGACUUCCUACAAACCCUCAGAGUCAUGCUGUUCGGCACGUCAGGCAAACUCGUCACCCUGUGGUGAUUCAGUUUGAAAACCCGCAGCUUCGAUGGUGUUUCUCUUGCAAUACCUUACUUCCAGUAGAGAAAACUGAAGAAAAUGGUGAACAAAAGGAUGACUUGUCUGAUGUGGUGAAAUUAAUUCGGGACCGGUCAAUGGAAUCCUCGCCUGUGGAUGUUAAGAACACAUGGCACACGAGUAGUGAAGUUACAGCUGGAACUGAAUCAGAAAGUUCGGUAUUAAGUGAUUUGGACAGAAGAAAUCAUUAUGUUGUAAAAGGAUUGAUUAAUCUUGGUAAUACUUGUUUUUUCAAUUCAAUCCUUCAAAAUCUCUUGGCCAUUGAUAUGUUGAGAGAUCAUUUCACAAAAUUGGAAGAAUGUGUUGGACCUUUAACUAUAGCUUUGAAGAAGAUCUUUAUAGAAGCAAGAAUGGAAACCAGAAUGAAAUGUUCGAUAAAUCCAAGAUCAGUUUUUGGCUCCAUCUCUUCCAAAGCCCCUCAGUUCAAAGGAUAUGAACAACAUGACAGUCAUGAAUUGCUCCGCGUCCUACUCGACACAUUGUCUUCUGAAGAGCUGACUUCGAGAAAGAUGACGAAUUCUAAGGAAGAGAGAAUAUCUGGAAAUCCCACUCCUACUUUUGUUGAUGAGAUGUUUGGGGGGCAAAUAUCAAGUGCCGUAUGUUGCAAAGAAUGUGGCCAUAUAUCGACAGUUUAUGAGCCAUUUCUAGAUCUUUCUCUCCCCGUUCCAAUGAAGAAAUCUCUGGCCAAAAAGGUCCAACCAGCCUCUCGAGCAAAGAAGACAAAACUACCACCCAAGAGAAAUGGAAAGACGAUUCCUAAAACUGACAAGGCUUCAGAUGUUGUAACAGUUCAAAUUGCCUCAGUUCCAUCAUCUAGUAAUGAGUCUUCCCUUCCAUCAGAGGCCGGUGUGAGUAGCACGACUACCAUCAUGGAGAAGACCUUAACUUCUCAGAAUGUCUCAGAUGUUAAAGAGUCGGAAAAAGAAGUUUUGAUUGAGAAUGGAGGAGAAUGUGCUUCAGAUAAUUUGACGUGGAUGGAUUUCCUUGGACCAGAACUGAAUGCCAAAAAUUGUGAUAUUUCCACUAUUCAGGAUUCUGAAAAUAAUGUUGAAUUAUUUAUUAGUGACGACUCACAACAAAGCGUCUCUGGGUUGAGUAUGCAGGUUUCAUCCCUUCACAAUGAGCCCAAUCAACGACCAGAUUUUUCUUCAGUGAAUUCAUGGGAUGCCGAAGCUCCUUUACAGGUUCAAGCCUCUGAAGUUUUGCUGCUUCCUUACAAGGAAGAGAGUUCCACUGCUGAAUUAGCAAAAGAAGAUGAUCAGGCCUCCUCAUCAAUUUUGGGCUGUGCUCAAGAAGAUUUUGAUGGAUUUGGCCUUGGUGAUAUGUUUGAUGAGCCUGAAAUCGCUAUAGGGCCCAUUGCAAGGCCCUCCAUGUCGAAUGAAGUUGCAGAAAGUAGUUUUAAUAGUGAAUCUGAUCAUGAGGAAGUUGAUAACACCGAUGCUCCCGUCUCUGUGGAGAGUUGUCUAACUUAUUUCACAAAGCCGGAACUUCUGUCCAACGAAAAUGGAUAUAACUGUGAGAAAUGCUCAAAAAGACUACAACGACAAAAGCUGGAAAUGAAGAGACAAUCAAAAGUUGCUUGCAAAGCUGUAGCAAAUGGAUGUCAAACUGCAAUAGGGGGUGAUACAUCUAGUUUCAACGAGGACUCUUCAGUUGAAGUAAAAAAUCAAAGAAAUGUGAAUUUAGCAAAUGGUUCUGUAAGUAACAAUAGUGGUGAAAGCUUGAAUUUGAAAGAAAAUGCAGAUUGUUCCAGUCGAGAUUGCACAAAACCUGCUAAUUGCCAGAAAGGCAAGACGGAUUCCCUUCCUUUAGAUGAGGAUGAUGCUAAGGUUGACACAGAUAUGAAUCCUGGCCUAGCAUAUUCUUCAGGUUGUAAUAACACCAGCAAUCAAGAGAAUUCAGAUGAUAGAUCCGGUUGUUCUCUUUCCAACGAUGAUCCUAAAAGCAGUGCACUUGCAAAAACUAAUACUGAGCUCUUGAGUUCACAAAUAUCUGCCGAGAAUCAAUCAGAAAAAAGUGAGGACGGUGAGAUGGAUUCUGAUUCAACAAUUGUGAAUGUGAAAAGAGAUGCAACAAAGAGGUUUCUUAUUCACAAGGCCCCUCCUAUCUUGACAAUUCAUAUUAAGAGGUUCAGUCCUGAUGCUCGGGGUCGUUAUAGUAAAUUGAAUGGCCACAUCAGAUUCAAGGAAACAAUUGAUCUUAAACCAUACCUGGAUACACGGUUUUGUGGUCUCCUUAGUAAUUGGUGAAGCUUUUUGUAGAUCCUUUCGUACCCUCGAUGAAAUCAUUUCUUAUUGAACAAAAAAAUCCAAGAACCUGAUCCGAGAAAAGAAUGAACUGAUGGUGUAAACAAAAAGACGAAAAAGAUUGCAUUGGAAAUUUUGAUUCACCCAAUCUGUUAUAGCUCAUGGAUUCACAUUCAUGUACACCAUCCAUGCUACAACAGGAAGAACCGUGGCUAACAAAAUAUUUUUCAUGUGGAGUUACAUACGCUACUCACGCUAGUCAACAGACUUUCACCAAAGUACAUGUCCAUAGUGCCCCUGAGCCGAGGGCAGGGGCCGAUCGCUGAUGUACAUGACCUGUGGAGUUUUCCUACACUGCAGUCACACUUAAGUGUUCUUUGUCUUACAUUGAAAAGAAGUAUUCGCCAAUGGUUCUCUUAAUAGGUGUGUGGAUAGGGACAAGUGUAACUAUCGGUUGGUCGGGGUCGUGGAGCACUCCGGAUCUAUGAGAGGAGGCCAUUAUGUUGCAUACGUGAGAGGGGGCAACAGGAAGAGGAGCAAUGGGGAAGCUGAGGAAGAUGCUUCU